CCUACGGGAGGCAGCAGUGAGGAAUAUUGCACAAUGGGCGAAACCCUGAUGCAGCAACGCCGCGUGAGCGAUGAAGGAUUUCGGUACGUAAAGCUCUGUCCUCAAGGAAGAUAAUGACGGUACUUGACGAGGAAGCCCCGGCUAACUACGUGCCAGCAGCCGCGGUAAUACGUAGGGGGCUAGCGUUAUCCGGAUUUACUGGGCGUAAAGGGAGCGUAGGCGGUGUCUUAAGUCAGAGGUGAAAGGCUAGGGCUCAACCGUAGUAAGCCUUUGAAACUGGGGAGCUUGAGUGCAGGAGAGGAGAGUGGAAUUCCUAGUGUAGCGGUGAAAUGCGUAGAUAUUAGGAGGAACACCAGUUGCGAAGGCGGCUCUCUGGACUGUAACUGACGCUGAGGCACGAAAGCGUGGGGAGCAAACAGGAUUAGAUACCCGGGUAGUC
rnacentral:rRNA from 1 species